GAUGAACGCUGACAGAAUGCUUAACACAUGCGAGUCAACUUGAAUUUGGGUUUUUAACUUAGUUUUGGGUGGCGGACGGGUGAUUAACGCGUAAAGAACUUGCCUCCCACCUGGGGACAACUUUUGAAAACGAAUGUUAAUACCUAUUUUUUUAUUAAUAGGCCAUCCUAUAUUUAUGAAACCUUUAAGCGCUGUGAGAGAGCUUUGCGUCCCAUUAGCUAGUUGGAGAGGUAACGGCUCACCAAGGCGAUGAUGGGUAGCCGGCCUGAGAGGGUGAUCGGCCACAAGGGGACUGAGACACGGCCCUUACUCCUACGGGAGGCAGCAGUGGGGAAUAUUGGACAAUGGACCGAGAGUCUGAUCCAGCAAUUCUGUGUGCACGAUGAAGUUUUUCGGAAUGUAAAGUGCUUUCAGUUGGGAAGAAACAAAUGACGGUACCAACAGAAGAAGUGACGGCUAAAUACGUG
rnacentral:rRNA from 1 species